rnacentral:misc_RNA from 1 species
GCAUGAAAUUUGCAAGCAAACACAUCUGCAAGUGACCCAACAUUAAAAUAGGGUAGACCCUAAUACCAUAUAGAGAAAAUGGACCAGGCCUAACUCUAUCAUAAAAGCUAGCUCAAGGGAGGAAUUAAGUCCGGACCAUUUUCUCUACAUGGUAUCAGAGCUAACUUUUGGGGUGUAGUUAAACCCAGUCUAUUUUCUCUAUAACCAUGUAAAGAAAAUAAACCGGGCCUAACUCCACCCCAAAAGCU